AGCCAUAGCCCAGGGGUUAAGGCAUUUGCUUUGUGUGCAGAAGGUCCCAAGUCCAAACCCCUGGCAUCUCUA